rnacentral:rRNA from 1 species
AUUGAACGCUGGCGGCAUGCCUUACACAUGCAAGUCGAACGGUAACGCGGGGCAACCUGGCGACGAGUGGCGAACGGGUGAGUAAUGCAUCAGAACGUGCCCAGUAGUGGGGGAUAGCCCGGCGAAAGCCGGAUUAAUACCGCAUACGACCUACGGGUGAAAGCGGGGGACUCGCAAGAGCCUCGCGCUAUUGGAGCGGCCGAUGUCAGAUUAGGUAGUUGGUGGGGUAAAAGCCUACCAAGCCGACGAUCUGUAGCUGGUCUGAGAGGACGACCAGCCACACUGGGACUGAGACACGGCCCAGACUCCUACGGGAGGCAGCAGUGGGGAAUUUUGGACAAUGGGCGCAAGCCUGAUCCAGCCAUGCCGCGUGCGGGAAGAAGGCCU